UGAGUGCGAGCUGCUACGGCAGCGAAGUUGGUGAUGUCAUGCUUCCAAGAAAAGCCCUAUACCCGUUAAGGCAUCAUGGCCUGUACCCGAAACCGACGCAGGUGGGGUGGUAGAGAAUACCGAGGGGCGCGAGGUAACUCUCUCUAAGGAACUCGGCAAAAUGGCCCCGUAACUUCGGGAGAAGGGGUGCCACCGCAAGGUGGUCGCAGUGAAGAGGCCCAGGCGACUGUUUACCAAAAACACAGGUCUCCGCUAAGUCGCAAGACGAUGUAUGGGGGCUGACGCCUGCCCAGUGCCGGAAGGUUAAGGAAGCUGGUCAGCGCAAGCGAAGCUAGCGACUGAAGCCCCGGUGAACGGCGGCCGUAACAAUAACGGUCCUAAGGUAGCGAAAUUCCUUGUCGGGUAAGUUCCGACCCGCACGAAAGGCGUAACGAUCUGGGCGCUGUCUCGGAGAGAGGCUCGGCGAAAUAGAAUUGUCUGUGAAGAUGCGGACUACGUGCACCCGGACAGAAAGACCCUAUGAAGCUUUACUGUAGCUUGGUAUUGUGCCCGGGCUCGCAAUGCGCAGGAUAGGUGGGAGGCUUUGAUCAUCGGCUUGCGGGUCGAUGUGAGCCAACGGUGAGAUACCACUCUUUGCGAGCUAGGGUUCUAACGGCCACCCGUCAUCCGGGGGCCGGACAGUACCUGGUGGGCAGUUUGACUGGGGCGGUCGCCUCCUAAAAGGUAACGGAGGCGCGCAAAGGUUUGCUCAGGCUGGUUGGAAAUCAGCCGACGAGUGUAAAAGCAGAAGCAAGCUUGACUGUGAGACCAACAAGUCGAACAGGGAGGAAACUCGGCUUUAGUGAUCCGACGGUUCUGAGUGGAAGGGCCGUCGCUCAACGGAUAAAAGUUACUCUAAGGAUAACAGGCUGAUCUCCCCCAAGAGUUCACAUCGACGGGGAGGUUUGGCACCUCGAUGUCGGCUCAUCGCAACCUGGGGCUGAAGUCGGUCCCAAGGGUUGGGCUGUUCGCCCAUUAAAGCGGUACGCGAGCUGGGUUCAGAACGUCGUGAGACAGUUCGGUCCAUAUCCGGUGCACGCGCAGGAAUAUUGAGAGGAUUUCUCCCUAGUACGAGAGGACCGGGAGGAACGCACCUCUGGUGUACCAGUUAUCGUGCCAACGGUAAACGCUGGGUAGCCAUGUGCGGAGUGGAUAACCGCUGAAAGCAUCUAAGUGGGAAGCCCACCUCAAGAUGAGUAUUCCCAUGGCGUAAGCCAGUAAGGUCACGGGAAGAACACCCGUUGAUAGGCUCUAUGUGGAAGCGCAGUAAUGCGUGAAGCAGAGGAGUACUAAUAGACCGAGGGC
rnacentral:rRNA from 1 species